UACGUAGGGGGCUAGCGUUGUCCGGAAUCAUUGGGCGUAAAGCGCGCGUAGGCGGCCAGAUAAGUCCGGUGUGAAAGUCACAGGCUCAACCUGUGAAUGCCGCUGGAAACUGUCUGGCUUGAGUCCGGAAGGGGCGAGUGGAAUUCCUGGUGUAGCGGUGAAAUGCGCAGAUAUCAGGAAGAACACCCGUGGCGAAGGCGGUUCUCUGGGACGGUGCUGACGCUGAGACGCGAAAGCGUGGGGAGCGAACAGG
rnacentral:rRNA from 1 species